GGGCGAUUAGCUCAGUUGGGAGAGCACCUCCCUUACAAGGAGGGGGUCACUGGUUCGAGCCCGGUAUCGCCACC
rnacentral:tRNA from 1 species